ACUUAGUUACCUAGAAAAUAUUAGCAACUAUUUGCUGAGCAUCUAUCAGUCUGUCUGUAGCAUGGAAGACCUGAGUACAGGGGAAACUGGAUUAGUAACAGUGGGUCAGAAAAUUAUAUAAUAUUCAACCAAAAUUCCUGCUUUACAUACACAGCACCUGGUAUUUCCAGAACUAGAAGGCUGAAGUCCUGAGGCCAGAAUGAGACUAGGACAUGGUUCCUUUGUCUAAGUAAAGUGAGGCAGACAAUGGAAUACUUCAGACUUCAAAUUAGUAUGGUAAGUGCUAUGAAGAGUAUGAUUAGAGUUCAUUACUUACCCAGAAAAGGGUCACUCAGCCCAGCCUGGGAGUUAGAGAAGGUUUCCUGAAGUCUUGACAUGUGAGUCAUGAAAGGACAUAAGGAGUUAAACACGUGACAAAAUAAGCUAAGAGAAUUCUCAACAAAAGACAAAAUAUUGCCAAAGGCUUUUAGGCAUAUACUAUCUUAGUAUUAUUGGGAGAAUGUAAUGACUUUCUGUAUUUCAAAAGUGUAAAAUACAAAGUGGGCCAUGGUAUGAGAUAAACCAGUAAAUAUGUUCUGGGAACAUAUCAUAGAAGGGCGUGUAUGCUGUCCUAAGGAGCUUAAACUUCAACUUCAGUUCAUGGGAGCCAAUGACAAGAUCUGAGCAGGGGAAGGAUGUGGCUAGAGGGGCAUUUUAGACAGACAAGAUCGUCUGUGGAUUACACCUAGGCUAAGCAACG
rnacentral:lncRNA from 1 species